rnacentral:rRNA from 1 species
UACGUAGAGUGCGAGCGUUGUCCGGAAUUACUGGGCGUAAAGAGCUCGUAGGUGGUUUGUCGCGUUGUCCGUGAAAACUCACAGCUCAACUGUGGGCGUGCGGGCGAUACGGGCAGACUGGAGUACUGCAGGGGAGACUGGAAUUCCUGGUGUAGCGGUGGAAUGCGCAGAUAUCAGGAGGAACACCGGUGGCGAAGGCGGGUCUCUGGGCAUUACCUGACGCUGAGGAGCGAAAGCGUGGGGAGCAAACAGG